AUGCGGGAGGACGACUGCCUGGCCCGCGUCCCACUUCUCCAUCAACAGGAUAGUCACCGAGGUCCCGUGUUUUGCCGACGCCCUGUGGGCGGGUCUGGUUCCCCCUUUUCUGAUUUCUUCAAUGCCGUGCUUUCCCACUAUCAGAUCCACAUGAUGCAUCUGGGUCCUGAAUCCAUCACCCUCCUUUCGGUCUUCGCCUUUGUUUGCGAGGCAAUGAUGGGCAUCCUUCCUUCGGUUGCCUUGCUGUGCCACUUCUUCUCUCUGCGCCUUGUCGACCCUACCCAAUGCUGGGCGUGCGUGAGCUUCGUUGCCGCGCCUGAGACAGCGGCCUCAGGGAUUGACUUCAGGCUCCCUUUGCCCGCGGCUGGGUUCCGCGAGCGGUGGCUGUAUGUGGUUGCAGGGGUGCCCAGCCCCCUGCUAUCGGAGCCAACUUCGCCUGCUGUCCCCAAUUCGGGCUGGGGCCAGGAGACGCUUGAGAGCCCCCGGCUCGUCUUCGUCUGGCACCGCUUCGCGUUCUUGAGAUCGCUUGGUGUGACAUCGCCCAAGGUGGUGAAGGAGUUCCUGCUACACCGCGUUGCUCCUCUCCAACGCCACUCCCGCCGGAUGUGGGCCUUCAGCGGGCGUGAUGAUCGUAUGAGGCUCCGGGAAGAGGACCUGACGCCUGAAGUGCUGAGGCCAGCGCUCUUGAUCCUGACUGGGGACCCCAACCCUGGCAGCAUCCAGCAGGGAGGGGCCUUGCUGUACCUCUGCCAGAACAGGGGUGAUUUUGUGAAUCAGAUGCCUAUCUUCGAUGAGUGGGGCCGCACCCCGCCGGCCUCCAGGGGCCUCGCGAGAACCCAGUGGUGGUGA
rnacentral:rRNA from 1 species